CCCUGGAAGGGCAAGAACUCCCAGCUGGCCCCUUCCCAUCAGGAGCCCCCCCCCACCUGCGAUGAACCAGGCACAGAGGAAGAGGAAGCCUGCUCCCUGCAAACAAGCCAGGCCUCCCACCGCGAUUGGCCCAAGCUGAUCUGACUUGAAGCCCCCUCCCAGAGCAAAAAACGUUGGGUUAACAGUGGGGCCAGGAGAGUCCUCUGCACAGGGAUGCCUUCAGCCCCCUCUCCAUCCCAGAGGCAUCGGCUUUCUUCCUGCCCUUCCCAACUCUAUCUUGCAGCCCGCAAGGAGCAGCUGACUCCUCACUUCCUGCAGCGGCUGCCCCUCCAGCCCCACCCUGCUUGGCUGUACCAAGGCCGGAGUUGCUGAGGAGACGACCCCCCCCUCACUUGCCGGAUCUUUCCCCAGCCAGGACCCUUC